GUGAUCACUUUGGCAGCAUAUAUACUAAAAUUGGAUUGAUACAGAGAAUAUUAGCAUGGCCCCUGCACAAGGAUGACAUGCAAAAAUACAACAAACAUAUAUUGCUA